UGCUUCUUGAGAAUGGAAGGGUGGGU
rnacentral:piRNA from 1 species